rnacentral:rRNA from 1 species
GAUGAACGCUGGCGGCGUGCUUAACACAUGCAAGUCGAACGGAAAGGCCCAAGCUUGCUUGGGUACUCGAGUGGCGAACGGGUGAGUAACACGUGGGUGAUCUGCCCUGCACUUCGGGAUAAGCCUGGGAAACUGGGUCUAAUACCGGAUAGGACCACAUUUUGGAUGGUGUGGUGGAAAGUUUUUCGGUGUGGGAUGAGCUCGCGGCCUAUCAGCUUGUUGGUGGGGUAAUGGGCUACCAAGGCGUCGACGGGUAGCCGGCCUGAGAGGGUGUACGGCCACAUUGGGACUGAGAUACGGCCCAGACUCCUACGGGAGGCAGCAGUGGGGAAUAUUGCACAAUGGGCGCAAGCCUGAUGCAGCGACGCCGCGUGGGGGAUGACGGCCUUCGGGUUGUAAACUCCUUUCGCUAGGGACGAAGCGUUUUUGUGACGGUACCUGGAGAAGAAGCACCGGCUAACUACGUG